rnacentral:rRNA from 1 species
AUGCACAAUGAAAAAAAUGUAGCUGAAGCUAUAUUUAACACAUGCUUUGACAUUCCUGAUAAAACUAAAGAUAAUGUGAAGGCAAGAAAAGAUCUAGCUGAAAUUUGCAACCAUCCUUCGAUGCACUUGAAACUGAAAGACAAUGGGAAGUGGGAGAAGCCAAGAGCACCUUUUGUCAUCGAUAAGAAGGAUGUGAUAACCAUUCUGAAAUGGUUCCAAGAGCUGAAGUUCCCUGAUGGGUAUGCAUCAAGCUUUAGACGGGGAGUUAGCCUACUACAUAGAAAGAUAUUUGGCCUCAAAAGUCAUGAUUACCAUAUCUUCAUGGAACGCCUACUUCCUGUUGCAUUUCGUGGCUUCCUUCCAGAGGACAUAUGGAAGUGUCUAGCAGAGCUAAGUUAUUUCUAUAGGCAGCUAUGUGCAAAAGAACUUAGCAAGGAUACCAUACGUUCACUUGAGGAGAAUGUUGUUGUUCUUGUAUGCAAAUUGGAGAAGAUAUUCCCUCCUCGUUUCUUCAAUCCCAUGCAACAUUAA